rnacentral:misc_RNA from 1 species
UCGUAAGCGCGGAGGUGAAUAAAAACCUACCAGUUGUCGGGCCCAAACAACACGUCACGGCUCACAGCCUAUAAUACAUGUACUUCACAUGAAUGCAUUUCAGUUCUCAAGACAGACUGCGUUUACACGGCAACAAACGACCAACUUUCGCUAUGCAGUACGAGGACAUUUUGCAGCACAUUGGCCAUUUUGGCAAAUACCAAAAACGGUUUGUUGUGCUUCUGUCCCUGAUACAACUCCCAACGAUAUUUCAUUUCUUAGCUCAGGUGUUUCUGGCGGCCAACGCCGAUCAUUGGUGCCUGGUCCCGGCCAGCCAGGCCGUCAACUGCAGCCUGCUCCAGCUCGACUCGUCUGCCUGCCAGGAAGCACAGAAGAACCAGAGCAUCCCGUACGAGUUGGACUCCCAGGGAAGUCGAGUUUACUCCUCGUGUGAGCGAUACGUGUUAGAUGAUGAGGGAGAAGGCGACCAAGGUACCAACUCGACGGAUGUCGUCGCCUGUGAUGCUGGCUGGGAUUUCGAUCGAUCUCGCUACAUAUCCACCAUAAAUGAUGAGUUUAGCCUGGUUUGCGACCGGGAGGAUUUGGCAGGCCUGGCCCAGUCAGUCUGGUUUGCUGGUCUGCUGACGGGGUCCUUGGUAUGGGGUUCGGUGGGUGAUUGGUUGGGAAGAAGGAAGACAUCUUUCCUCAGCCUAGCCCUCGUCGCCGUCUCAUCAAUUGUGACGACCUUCGCUCCGAACUUCGCUGCUUUUGCCGCCUUGCGUUUCAUUACGGCAGCCUGUGCAUUCGGAGCCUUCCUCAUGACGUAUAUUAUCUCUUCGGAGAUAGUUGGACCGAGCAAGCGCGUGCUGGUCGGGACCGUGGCGGCAAUAUUCGCCUCCAUUGGCUACGUCAUCCUGUCCAUGCUUGCAUACUUUAUACGGGAUUGGCGCCACCUCCAAUUAGCAAUUUCGCUUCCAUAUGUUGUGGCGUUCCUACUCGUAUUAGUUGUGCCCGAGUCUCCCCGCUGGCUGAUUUCGAAGGGUCGCUUCAAAGAAGCCGAGAAAAUCAUCACAAAAAUCGCCAAAGUCAACGGCACCAAGGUUCCGGAAAACCUGUUUGAAAGUCUUGAGAACAUCCAGGAAAAUGAAACGGAUCCGAAGUCCAGCUCCGCUCGUCGGACGACCGUCUUGGAUCUUUUCCGGACCCCAAACAUCCGCAAGAAGACUCUGGUUAUCUUCUUCAACUGGUUUGUGACCAACAUGACGUACUAUGGGCUAUCCCUCAGCACCUCCUCACUGGGCAUAGAUGACUACGUGGCCGCCUUUGUAUCCGGUGCCUUGGAGGUACCAGCCGCCCUUUUUAACUGGUUCGUCAUGGAGAAAUUCGGCCGACGUUUCUCCCUGUCGGCUCUCUUUGUGUCCGGAGGCGUCUUCUGCCUGAUAACCACCUUCGUUCCUCUCGGUGCUGGCCGGGUCGCGGUGGCUAUGAUUGGCAAGUUCGCCAUUACUGCAGUAUUCAAUCACAUUUAUAUCUACAGUAGUGAGCUCUACCCGACCGUAAUCAGGGGUAUCGGCCUGGGAGCAUCUUCCAUGGUAGCCCGCGUGAGUGGGGUGCUUUGCCCCAUCAUCUUGAUCCUUGGCAAAUACUGGCAACCACUGCCUCUCUGUGUCUUCGGAGGCAGCUCCGUGCUGGCCGGGAUGCUGUCUCUGAUGCUGCCGGAGACCUUGGGCCGUGACAUGCCGGACACUAUUCAAGACGGAGAGCAAGCCGGGAUGGGUCCAGGGCUCAGUGUGUGCCGCAGGAAAGAUCUUAAAGACGGCCUUGACUCCAAACCUCCCGAGAACCACCUUCCACUCUCCACAAACAACAAAUCUGCGACUGAGCCGGUGGCGAUCUGAGGUCUGAAGUUAAAAGUCGAAGUCCCAAGCUGUCUUUGUCUUGUCAUUUUCUUAAUUGGUUCGUUGGCUAAGAAUCGCUGAAACAGUGUUAAGCUUUAUAUUACUGAAUGACUUUAAAAGAAGUAAAUGACAACCGUUUUAAACUUAUUUUUCUCAUUACCAGCUUCCUACUUCAUGAUUUACUUUUUUUCUGAAAAUUAAAACUAGUCGAUUAAAAAUAUAUGGUUCGUUAGUUAGUUAGUUCGUUAGUUCGUUCAAUUCAAUUCAAUAUUACAUUUAUUUCCAUACUGAAACAAUAAUAUAACAGAAGCAAAAUACAAUAUUGUGGAGGCACAAUCCUAAUAAGACAAGGUUUGUAGCUGAGUGCCUUUAGAAGAGAAAACAAAGACAUUUCGUUAGUUAGUUAGUUCGUAACAAACGUUGACAUUGUCCAUUGCUUCUACAUUUUUUGGACCGAUUUCAACCAAACUUUGUCAAACUUAGUAUCCGUGCUAGCACAGCCCCAACAUGUCACAUGACCAGACUGGGGUCAAAGGUCAUCAUGGGGUCCAGGUCAAAUAACGUCAAAUUUCAAAUAAGCUCUUGGCAAAUAACAAAAGCGCUGUCAAGAUGUUGGCCUUGGUCACACAUGUUUAAAAUAUCCAUGUGACCUCUUCGUCUGACCUACAGUUACGGGGUCAAAGGUCAAUAUAAGGUUAACACAUAUUCGUUGGCCCGCAGCUUCCGAGAUCCGAUCGAGCUUGUUUUAAUUUUAACUGAAACUUUGUAUAAAAACAAGUAAAGUUAUUUUAUAGAUUAUUUAUCACUUACAAAAUAUGUAAUUUAUUAUUUAUAUAGGAGAAACGUGGAAUACUGAUGCAGGUUUAUGUAUAGGUCUAGGGUUACUGCCAAAAAAAAAAAAUAAGUCGGUCUCUGGUCAGCGCGCGCGUCGAUUUUAAGCAUGCGCGUCGAUCUUUUUUUUUUUCCUAAAUGUUCCGCGGUAGCUCCAACA